AUGAUACAAACCAGACUACACUUGAAACCAUUACAAGCCCAAACUAACUCAAGAAAACCAGUUACAAAUCUGCAUUCAAUUCAAAACCAUUGGAACUUAGCUUCACAUACAUAUCCAAAUAACCAUUUUGACAUAUCAUACAUGCUCACAUCAGUUUCCAAAGCAUCCAAACUGGCACCAUGUCAAACCAAAAAUCAGAAAUUCAAAUGCUAUGCAAAAAACAAAUUCAAACCAAGAGAAUGCCAAGUCAAAUUUCCACACCUGGAUCAAAGCAUACAUUAUAAUUCAUCCACAUCAGUAACUUUCAUCCAGUAUAGCACAAAUUAG